rnacentral:rRNA from 1 species
AUUGAACGCUGGCGGAAUGCUUUACACAUGCAAGUCGAACGGCAGCACGGGGGCAACCCUGGUGGCGAGUGGCGAACGGGUGAGUAAUACAUCGGAACGUGCCCAGUCGUGGGGGAUAACGUAGCGAAAGUUACGCUAAUACCGCAUACGAUCUACGGAUGAAAGCGGGGGACCGUAAGGCCUCGCGCGAUUGGAGCGGCCGAUGUCAGAUUAGGUAGUUGGUGAGGUAAAGGCUCACCAAGCCGACGAUCUGUAGCUGGUCUGAGAGGACGACCAGCCACACUGGGACUGAGACACGGCCCAGACUCCUACGGGAGGCAGCAGUGGGGAAUUUUGGACAAUGGGCGCAAGCCUGAUCCAGCCAUUCCGCGUGCAGGAAGGCCUUCGGGUUGUAAACUGCUUUUGUACGGAACGAAAAGGCUCUGGUUAAUACCUAGGGCUCAUGACGGUACCGUAAGAAUAAGCACCGGCUAACUACGUGCCAGCCGCCGCGGUAA